rnacentral:rRNA from 1 species
GACGAACGCUGGCGGCGUGCUUAACACAUGCAAGUCGAACGGUAAGGCCUUCGGGUACACGAGUGGCGAACGGGUGAGUAACACGUGGGUGAUCUGCCCCCUACUCUGGGAUAAGCCUGGGAAACUGGGUCUAAUACCGGAUAUGACCUCCUUCUGCAUGGUUGGUGGUGGAAAGUUUUUUCGGUAGGGGAUGAGCCCGCGGCCUAUCAGCUUGUUGGUGGGGUAAUGGCCUACCAAGGCGACGACGGGUAGCCGGCCUGAGAGGGCGACCGGCCACAGUGGGACUGAGACACGGCCCAGACACCUACGGGAGGCAGCAGUGGGGAAUAUUGCACAAUGGGCGAAAGCCUGAUGCAGCGACGCCGCGUGGGGGAUGACGGCCUUCGGGUUGUAAACCCCUUUCAGUCGGGACGAAGCGAGAGUGACGGUACCGAUAGAAGAAGCACCGGCCAACUACGUGCCAGCCGCCGCCGUAAGAC